GAUGAACGCUGGCGGCGUGCCUAAUACAUGCAAGUCGAGCGAACGGACGAGAAGCUUGCUUUUCUGAUGUUAGCGGCGGACGGGUGAGUAACACGUGGAUAACCUACCUAUAAGACUGGGAUAGCUUCGGGAAACCGGAGCUAAUACCGGAUAAUAUUUUGAACCGCAUGGUUCAAAAGUGAAAGACGGUCUUGCUGUCACUUAUAGAUGGAUCCGCGCUGCAUUAGCUAGUUGGUAAGGUAACGGCUUACCAAGGCAACGAUGCAUAGCCGACCUGAGAGGGUGAUCGGCCACACUGGAACUGAGACACGGUCCAGACUCCUACGGGAGGCAGCAGUAGGGAAUCUUCCGCAAUGGGCGAAAGCCUGACGGAGCAACGCCGCGUGAGUGAUGAAGGUCUUCGGAUCGUAAAACUCUGUUAUUAGGGAAGAACAUAUGUGUAAGUAACUGUGCACAUCUUGACGGUACCUAAUCAGAAAGCCACGGCUAACUACGUG
rnacentral:rRNA from 1 species